GAUGAACGCUGGCGGCGUGCCUAAUACAUGCCAGUCGAGCGAACGGACGAGAAGCUUGCUUCUCUGAUGUUAGCGGCGGACGGGUGAGUAACACGUGGAUAACCUACCUAUAAGACUGAGAUAACUUCGGGAAACCGGAGCUAAUACCGGAUGAUAUUUUGAACCGCAUGGUUCAAAAGUGAAAGACGGUCUUGCUGUCACUUAUAGAUGGAUCCGCGCUGCAUUAGCUAGUUGGUAAGGUAACGGCUUACCAAGGCAACGAUGCAUAGCCGACCUGAGAGGGUGAUCGGCCACACUGGAACUGAGACACGGUCCAGACUCCUACGGGAGGCAGCAGUAGGGAAUCUUCCGCAAUGGGCGAAAGCCUGACGGAGCAACGCCGCGUGAGUGAUGAAGGUCUUCGGAUCGUAAAACUCUGUUAUUAGGGAAGAACAGAUGUGUAAGUAACUGUGCACAUCUUGACGGUACCUAAUCAGAAAGCCACGGCUAACUACGUG
rnacentral:rRNA from 1 species